CCAUAACUUUGUGGCUUUACUAUUUGCAAUUCUUGGCAUCAUUCAGCAUCCAACAGCUCGUUUUCUGGUUGCUAUGGUGAUCUUGCCAUGAUGAUGUAAGUUUAGGUGUACGCAGACAGAGGGAGAGGUGAUGGGGGUAUACUCUGACUCAGUAAAGGUAUGUGGGAGAGGCUCUGAAUGCAGAUCCAAUACCUAAAUGAAAUAAAAUAUAAAUUUUACAAGAUUUUUCUAUUAACAAUAACUGAUAGAUUUAACAGUGAGAUGCUAAUAAUCUGCCAGUAAAGGGUACCAACUGCUCUAUGAAUUUACAGACA